rnacentral:tRNA from 1 species
GGGGUUGUGGCUCAGUGGUAGAGCACUUGCCUAGCAUGUAUGAGGCACUGGGUUCAAGUCUCAGCACUGCA